UACGGGGGGAGCAAGCGUUGUUCGGAUUUACUGGGCGUAAAGGGCGCGUAGGCGGCCAGCACAAGUCAGUUGUGAAAUCUCCGGGCUUAACUCGGAAAGGUCAACUGAUACUGUGCGGCUAGAGUGCAGAAGGGGCAACUGGAAUUCUCGGUGUAGCGGUGAAAUGCGUAGAUAUCGAGAGGAACACCUGCGGCGAAGGCGGGUUGCUGGGCUGACACUGACGCUGAUGCGCGAAAGCCAGGGGAGGCGAACAGG
rnacentral:rRNA from 1 species